rnacentral:rRNA from 1 species
GAUGAACGCUGGCGGCGUGCCUAAUACAUGCAAGUCGAGCGAACAGACGAGGAGCUUGCUCCUCUGACGUUAGCGGCGGACGGGUGAGUAACACGUGGAUAACCUACCUAUAAGACUGGGAUAACUUCGGGAAACCGGAGCUAAUACCGGAUAAUAUAUUGAACCGCAUGGUUCAAUAGUGAAAGACGGUUUUGCUGUCACUUAUAGAUGGAUCCGCGCCGCAUUAGCUAGUUGGUAAGGUAACGGCUUACCAAGGCAACGAUGCGUAGCCGACCUGAGAGGGUGAUCGGCCACACUGGAACUGAGACACGCUCCAGACUCCUACGGGAGGCAGCAGUAGGGAAUCUUCCGCAAUGGGCGAAAGCCUGACGGAGCAACGCCGCGUGAGUGAUGAAGUUCUUCGGAUCGUAAAACUCUGUUAUUAGGGAAGAACAAAUGUGUAAGUAACUAUGCACGUCUUGACGGUACCUAAUCAGAAAGCCACGGCUAACUACGUG